rnacentral:rRNA from 1 species
UACGUAGGGUGCAAGCGUUAUCCGGAAUCACUGGGCGUAAAGCGUGCGUAGGUGGCGCGUUAAGUGAGAUGUUAAAAUCGUGUGGCUCAACCAUAUCGAUGCAUCUCAUACUGGCGUGCUAGAGGGAAGCAGAGGCAAGUGGAAUUUGUAGUGUAGCAGUGAAAAUGCGUAGAUAUUACAAGGAACACCAAUGGCGAAGGCAGCUUGCUGGGCUUCUUCUGACACUGAGGUACGAAAGCGUGGGGAGCGAACAGGA